UCAUCCCAUGCUGACACUAACUCAACAGC
rnacentral:piRNA from 1 species